AGUCUAUGAUGAAGAUAUAACCGUGCCAGAGACUAGUCUCGUUAGAGCUCGUCAAUGACGGCGCAAUCCUCUAAGAAGUUCUGAGCUCAAUCUCUUCUUUUUCUUUCACUUUUUUUUAAUUUCCCCAAUUACCCUUUGUUUAUAAAUGUUUAAUUAUUUUUCUUUCAUAAAGAAAGUUUCAAACUUCGUCUUUGUGAUUUAUUGAGUUAUUUAGGGUUUGGUAGAUUGGUUAAAAUCGAAUAGCGAGAUGAUGAUAACAAAUCAUGUCUGUCAAUCCGCUGAUAUCUUGUGAUGUAUUCAUGUAUCCCGACAGGUUCUGAUCGCUACCUAUUCGCCACUCUUCCUAAUUUUUGUUGCACUGGUUUUAUAUUUUGAAAUCUCUUUAUUUAUUUAAAUUUUAGUAAUUUGAGUAUUUAGAUUAUGAUUGUAAUGUUUUGGAAAUGUUAAUAGUGUUGGGCAUGUGAUGAAUCUGAUAUUGUAAAUGGGUAAUUUGCAUCUGAAUUACUUUGAUGUUACAUCACCUUGGAGAACUGAUGCCCAAA